UUCCAGGAGUUUGUGUUUUUUGCUUUUUUUUUUUUUUUUUUUGUAGUUGAUUUCUAUUUAUCGUCUCAUAGCAUUGUGGUCGAAGAAAAUGCAUGGGAUGAUGUCACCUUUUAAAAAUUUACCAAGGCUUGAUCUGUGGCCCAAAAUGUGAUCUAUCCUGGAGAAUGUUCCAUGUGCACUUAAGAAUGUAUAUUCUGUUGCUUUGAGACAGAAUGUUCUAUAAAUAUCAGUUAAAUCAUCUAGUCUAGAGUAUUGUUUAAGGCCUGUGUUUCCUUGUUGAUUCUUGGUCUCUUGACAUAAGUGGGGUAUUAAAGUUCCCAGCUGUUAAUGUGUUGCUGUCAAUUUCUCCUUUUAUGGCUGUCAGCAGUUGCCUUAUAUAUUGAGGUGCUCCUAUGUUAGGUGCAUAUGUAUUUACAAUUGUUAUUUCUUCUUCUUGGAUUGAUCCUUUAAUUAUUAGGUAGUGUCUUUUGUCUCUUGUGAUUCUUUAUUUUAAAGUCUAUUUUGUCUGAUAUGAGUAUCGCUACUCCUGCUUUCCUUUGAUUUCCAUUUGCGUGUAAUAUCUUCUUCUAUCUUCUCACCUUCAGUCUGUAUGUGCCCUUGAGUCUGAAGUGGGUCUCUUGUAAACAGCAUGUAUAUGGGUCUUGUUUUUGUAUCCAUUCAGCCAGUCUCUGUCUUUUGUUUGGAGCAUUUAAUCCAUUUACAUUCAGUGUAAUUAUGGAUAAGUAUGUAUUUAUUGCCAUUUUGUUAAUUGCUUUGAAUUGUUACUUUGCGUCUUUUUUUUAAUCUUUCUUUCGUUGUCUUCUCUUGUGAUUUGCUGACUAUCUUUAGUGUUGUGUUUGGAUUGCUUUUCUUUUUUAUUUGUUGUACUUAUUAUUUUGGUUCACAAUUCUCUUAUUUUCGAAUGCAUUUUCAAUAAUCUGCAUUUGUCAUCUCCUUUUCUCAUGUUUGCUAGUUUUGAUAUCAUUUUUGCCAAAUGGGUGAUUUUCUACCCUUGUAUUAUCUUUGUCUUUACUACUGAUUUUUCUCUUUUAAAAUUUUCUUGCUUCUCAUUGUGGCUUUUUCCUUUCUGCUUAGAGAGGUUCCUUUAGUAGUUGCUGUAGAGCUGGUUUUGAAUUGCUAAAUUCUUUUAGCUUUUGUUUGUCUGAAAAGCUUUUGAUCUCUCCUUCAAAUCUGAGAGCCUCGCUGGAUAUAGUAUUCUUGGUUCUAGGCUCCUCCCCUUCAUCACCUUAAAUAUAUCUUGCUACUCCCUUCAAGCUUGCAGAGUCUCUGCUGAAAGAUCAGCUGCUAUCCUUAUGGGGGUUCCUUUGUAUGUUACUUGUUACUUUUCCAUUGUUGCUCUUAAUAUUUUUUCUUUGUAUUUAAUUUUUGUCAGUUUAAUAGUAUGUGUCUCACUGUAUUUCUCUUUGGGUUCAUGCUGUGUGGGAUCCUCUGUGCUUCCUCAGCUUGAGUGUCUUCUUUCCCUCAUUAGGGACAUUUUCCGCUAUAAUCUCUUCAAAUAUUUUCUCUGGUCCCUUUUCUCUCUCUUCUCCUUAUGGAACCUGGGAGAGAAUGUUGGUACAUUUAAUGUUGUCCCGAGAGCUCUUAGGCUCUCCUCAGUUCUUUUAAUCAUUUUCUCUUUAUUUUUUUCUGUGGCAGUGAUCUUCACCACUCUGUCUUCUAUGUCACUUAUUCAUUCUUCUGCCACCAUUAUCCUUCUGUUAAUUCCAUCUACUGUAUUAUUCAUUUCAGAUAUUGUGCUAUCCAUCUUAGUUUGCUUGUUCUUUAGGUCCUAUAGCUCUUCGUUAAACAUUUCUCAUAACUUCUCUGUGUCUCCACCUUUUUUCCAAGGUCUUGGAUCGUCUUUACUAUCAUCACUUUGAAUUCUUUUUCAGGUAGAUUAUCUAUCUCCUCAAUAGAUAAGGGCUGCACCCAUCGCAUGUGGAAGUUCCCAGGCUAGGGGUCCAGUCAGAGCUGUAGCUGCUGGCCUAUGCCACAGCCACAGCAAUGCCAGAUCUGAGCCACAUUUGCAACCUAUGUCACAGCUCCUGGGCAAUGGCAAAUCCUUAACCCACUGGGUGGGGCCAGAGGUCAAACCUGCAUCCUCAUGGAUGCUUGUCGGAUUCUUAACCCAUUGAAUCACAAUGGGAACUCCCUACACUUUUAUUUUUGAUCCGUUUUUGAGAUUAUAGAUGUGACAGGUAUAGAUCCAAGUUUGUUUCUUUGUUUCUGCAUGCAGAUAUCCCAUUGUUCCAGUACCACUUGUUGAGAAGGCUGUGUUUUCUCCACUGCAUUUCCUCUGCACACAAAAGCCCAUAUAUGUGUAGGCCAGUUUAUCAGCUCUCUCUUCUGUUCCUCUGAGCUUUGAUGCUGAUACUGUACUGCCUUCAUUAAUAUAAUUUUAUAGUCAUUCUUGAAAUCGGGUGGCCUUAGCCCUCUAACUUUGUUCUUCUUUUUCAGAGUCGUGUAUGAAUUCUAGCUCCUUUGAAUUUCCAUAUGAAUUUUAGAAUCAGCUAGCCAGUUUUUUCAAAAAGAUUUUUGAUAAUUUGAUUUGGAUUGUGUUGGAUACAUGGAUGAUUUGGGACAUGUUAAUAAUAUUGAGUAUUGUGACCCAAUAGCAAGGUAUACCUCUAGAUUUACUGUCUUUCUCUUUAGUACUUUGAAUAUGUUGCUCCACUGUCUGUAUUCUUGCCUGCAUUGUUUGAGAUGAGAAGUCUGUGUUAUCCUUAUCUUUGUUUUUUCUGUAUGCAACAUGCUCCUCCCUGCCCCCUGCCAUUUUCAGAUUUUCUUUUUGUUUAAUGGCUUUGAGCAAUUUUAAUAUGAUGUGUCUUGGUGUAGUUUUCUUGCUAUUUUUUGUUCUUGGAGUUUGUUGAGUUUCAUGGAUCUGUAGGCUUAUAGUUCUCAUCAAAUUUAGAACAUUUUGGAUGUCAUUUCUUUAAAUAUUUUUCUGUCCACCCCCCCUCUUCUUCAGGAACUCCAUCCGCAUACAUAUUAAGGCCCUUUCAGUUGUUCCAUAGUUUUGUUUGCUGUUUUUUUGUUUUUUAGGGCCACACCCAUAGCAUAUGGAGGUUCCAAGGCUAGGGAUCCAAUUGGAGCUGUAUCCAUUGGCCUAUGCCACAGCCACAGCAAUACCAGAUCCGAGCUGUCUGCAACCUACACCACAGCUCAUGGCAAUGCCAUAUCCUUAACCCACUGAGUGAGGCCAGGGAUCGAACCUGUGUCCUCAUGGAUACUAGUCAGAUUCAUUUCUGUUGAGCCAUGACGGGAACUCCAGUUGUUCCAUAGUUUAUUGAUACUCUUUUAAUUAUUGAAAUUUAUUUUUUCUCUACUUGUUUCAUUUCAGGCAGUUGCUAUUGCUGUCUUUAAGUUCACUAAUAUUUGCUUAUGCAGUGACUAAUUUGUUAUUAAUCCCACCCAGUAUGUUUUUCAUCUCAGACAUUGUAGUUUUUAUUUUUAAAAAUUCCCUAAAAAUUAGAGUCUUUUAAAAAAUAUAUCUUCCAUGGCUUCAGUUAACUUUUUGAAAUAUGGAAUGUUUUAAAUAGAUAAUAUAUUAUAAUAUAAUGUAUUAAAAUAUAAUCCAUUAUAAUGCAAUAUAUAAUUAUUUUAAUGUCCAUCUUUGCCAAUUCUAACAGCUGUGUCAAUUCUAGGUUUGUUUUAAUUGAUUUUUUUUCCUUAUUAUGAGUCAUAUUUUCCUGCCUCUUUUCAUGCCAGUUAACCUCUUGUUGAAUGCCAAGCACUGUGAAUUUUAUCUUGUUGGUUGCUGGCUAUUUUAAUAUUUCUAAAAACUGUUUUGGAGCUUUACUUUGGAAAGCAGCUAAAUUGCUAGUUUAUUUUGGAGGGUCUUGCUUUUAAGAUUUGCUCCAUGGGACCAGAGUGUAUAGAGGGAAGAGUUCAUAAUUCUUUGUUAUGAAGGCAAAACAGUGAGUGUUCUGCCCAAGUUCUACAGCCGGGUUGGUAGGAACAGGUGCUAUUCCCAGCCCCAUGUGAGGAUGGGGAGCUGUCCCUCUAAUCCUCUGGACGUUCUUUCCCCAGCCUCAGGUAGCUUCCUUAUGCACUUGCACUCAUGGCUCUGUGUUUUGCUAAAUGCUCCAGAGACCUCCAGAGUUCUCUUUCUGGGUGUUUUCCCCCCUCUGGUGUUCUGUGCUUCAUACUGAAGAUACCCCAGUCUUUCCCAACACCCAGCUUUUUCUCCUCAACUCAAGUUGUUUACCAAGUUCUGCCUUCCUUCCCAUUUCCUGCACCGCAGCCUGGAUUCUCACUUCAGGCAAUGAGGUAGGACAAUUGCAGGGCUCACUUCAUUUAUUUUCUGUCUCUCACAGGGAUCAUUAUCCUUUGCUGCCUUACGCCCACUGUCUUGAAAACUGUUGUUCCAUGUUUUUUGUUUUGGGUUUUUUUUUUUUGGUUGUGUCAAAUGAGAGUAAAUCUGUUCCAUUUCUCCAUCUUGCUAGAAGCAGAAGUGUCCAUUACCUUUUUAUUUCAUUAUUUUUCUUUUAAAACCCUCCUUAGAAGCAACCUUCCUUUAUAACAACCAACAGCCCAGAGUGUGUUCCCAUCGUCUUAUGAUCACUCUGCUUGUCAAAGCAAGCCUGUGAGGUGGGUGUCAGAUCAUCCUCAUUUUAUAGAUACGGGAACCGAGCCUCAGAGAAGUAAAGAGGUUUGUCCAAAGUCCCAUGGUCUGUAAAGGAUUAAGCCAUGUCCCCACCACCAUGUGCUGCCUUUGUAGUUCCCAAGAGGUGAAACAGAGCUAUGUGAAGUUAAGAGUUGUUAUUGAUGCAUUUUAAAAAAGUAUUUUGGGAGGAAGGGGAGUAAAUAGGUGGGCUCAAGGUCACAGGGUUAAUGAGCCUGGAGCAAGAGAUGGUCAGGGGUUUCAGCGAUUGGUUUUCCCCUUGCCUCUCCCCCGACCCACUCCAGAGAGGGGAGCAUGCUAAUGCAUCCUGCCAGACAGGAGAAACUGGGAUUUUUGCUGGAACUGGGGGUCUGGAAUUGGGCCUGGCUUUAUGGGCAACCUUGGGAAGAAGGGAAGGGGUAGGAGAAAGAGGUGGGACUGGAGAUGAAAAACAAAGGUGAAGAAAUAAAAUAAUGAAACCGUGAGUAGGUGAGGUGUUAGGGAGACAGCUUGCCAGGGUGGGCAGCACAGAUGACUGGAGGGUGGAGGGAGGUGGUGGGAGGCGAAUGCACAGAUCUGAGCUCUGAGAAACUGGGUAGAGGGGGCUCAGUAUGGGUGUCAAGAGUUGCGGGUGGGGACAGUGGAGUGUGACACCCCAGGGACGGGUGCUUCCUGGAAAAAAGGUGAUAGGGUCUUUUCCUGGCCAAGGGGGAGGCUUUGGAAUGUUCUUGCACAGUUUAUUUUUAGUGAGAUUCCUUCUAACUUUUUUUUUUUUUAAAGGUAUGGGAUGGGACAUAAUAGUUACCACUUAUUAAGUGCCUAUUGUCUGCUGAGAAGUUGUUUCACUUGCAUCAACCCAGUUCAUAGCAUACACAAUUACUUUUUGAGGUAGGGACUAUUACUAACUCCAUCUGAUAGAUAAGGAAUCUGAGUCUCAGGCUUAUCUGAAUACCUUCUGCUUUGAUUUAUUUAUUUAUUUAUUUAUUUAUUUAUUUAUUUAUUUUUUUGUCUUUUGUCUUUUUGUUGUUGUUGUUGUUGCUAUUUCUUGGGCCGCUCCCGCGGCACAUGGAGGUUCCCAGGCUAGGGGUUGAAUCGGAGCUGUAGCCACCGGCCUACGCCAGAGCCACAGCAACGCGGGAUCUGAGCCGCGUCUGCAACCUACACCACAGCUCACGGCAAUGCCGGAUCGUUAACCCACUGAGCAAGGGCAGGGACCGAACCCGCAACCUCAUGGUUCCUAGUUGGAUUCGUUAACCACUGCGCCACGACGGGAACUCCUGAUUUAUUUAUUUUAAAUGAGAGCUGUGUAUGAGAAGCCAGAACCUACUUAGACAGAACUCACCCAAGGGUUUUUGUUUUAUUUUUUCCAGGACCUGCUCUUUAGUUUGGCAGAUAUGGGGCAGAGUAGGGGUAGUGGGUUGAGAAAGAAAUAAGAUAUUUGAAAACACACAGGAGGCCAAAGAGAAAGAGAAAUUUCAUGUACAACAACCCUGCCUUGUAAAUAUCAUUGAGACUCUAUUAUUAUUUUGUCUACCCAAGCAGGCACUGCAAAUCCAGCACCCUCCCUGGCUGGGGUAGGGGUGGUGUGGGUGUUUAGCCCUGGCUCUGCCAGGCAUGUAUCCCAUCUCCCUGGCCACAGUGAUUGUACCAGGCAUGAGCAUGUGACCCAGUCCAGGGCAAUCACAUCCUUUCUUG
rnacentral:lncRNA from 1 species